AAAAUAUAACCGAAGGUAAUUUAAUGGUGAUAUUUUCAGUUAGGCAUAAUUUGUGGACCGCAAUAUGAAAGGGUCCUUCUGCGGUUCACACGGAAACCAACGCUAAUGACCGAUGUUUGUUUUGCUACAAUUAGCAGUAUGCCUGCUGAACGCAAGUGCUCAGUAAACAUGGAUGAGAAAGACGUUAGCUCCUUCAGCAACAAGGAGAAAGAAAAGGACAGAGAUGGUGAGAGAAGACCAGCAUCUGCUCGGGACAAAGCAAAGGAAGAGGCCAAAAUGAGCGGUAAAAAAGACAGUGGCAAGGAGGAGAAGAGAAAGCGCCUAGAGGAAGAAAAGAAGAAGAAGGAGGAAAAGGAGCGGAGAAAGAAGGAGGAGGAGAAACAGAAAGCCGACGAGGAACAGAAGAAGAAAGAGGAGGAGGAGAAGAGACAGCAGGAGGAGCAGGAGAAGAAGCUGCAAGAGGAGGAAGCCAAAAGGCAACGUGAAGAGGAGGCAGCUCUCCUGAAGGAGAAGGAGGAGGGGCAUCAGCUGCACCAGGAGGCCUGGGAGCGCCAUCAGUGCAGGAAGGAACUCCGCAACAAGAACCAGAACGCCCAAGAGGGUCGACCCGAAGAGGCCUUCUUCAGCCGACUGGACUCGAGCCUUAAAAAGAACACUGCCUUUGUCAAGAAGCUGCGUACACUCACUGAACAGCAGCGAGACUCGCUCUCCAAUGACUUUUCCUCACUGAACCUCAGCAAGUACAUUGGCGAGGCCGUGAGCUCCGUCGUGGAAGCCAAGCUGAAGAUCUCUGACGUCGGCUGUGCAGUCCACCUCUGCUCGCUCUUCCACCAGCGCUACACCGAGUUCGCUCCCUUACUGUUGCAGUCGUGGAAGAAGCACUUUGAAGCAAGGAAGGAAGACAAGGCGCCCAACGUGAGCAAGCUGCGCACAGACCUGCGCUUUAUUGCUGAGCUCACCAUCGUUGGGCUCUUCACGGACAAAGAGGGCCUUUCGCUUAUUUAUGAGCAGCUGAAGAACAUUAUCGGGACUGACAGGGAGACACACACUCACGUGUCAGUGGUAAUCAGCUUCUGUAAGCACUGUGGGGAUGAUAUUGCUGGUCUGGUGCCCCGUAAGGUGAAACUGGCUGCUGAGAAGUUCAGCCUGACCUUCCCUCCGAGCGAGAUAAUCAGCACGGAGAAGCAGCAGCCCUUCCAGAACCUGCUGAGGGAAUACUUCACCUCCCUCACCAAACACCUGAAGAAGGACCACCGGGAGCUGCAGAACACUGAGAGGCAGAACAGACGUAUCCUACAUUCCAAAGGGGAGCUGAGUGAGGACAGACACAAGCAGUAUGAAGAGUUUGCCACUUCCUACCAGAAGCUGCUGGCCAACACUCAGUCCCUGGCUGAUCUGCUUGAUGAGAACAUGCCAGAGCUGCCUCAGGACAAGACAGUGCAGGAGGAACACGGUCCUGGCAUUGAUAUUUUCACCCCUGGUAAACCCGGAGAGUAUGACCUGGAGGGAGGGAUCUGGGAAGAUGAAGACGCUCGUAACUUUUAUGAGAACUUGGUGGACCUGAAGGCUUUCGUUCCUGCCAUCCUCUUCAAGGACAACGAGAAGAGUGGACAGGGUAAAGACAAGGACGAUGGCAAAGAUGGCAGAGACGGGAAGGAUUCAGCCAGUACCACAGAGGAACUGGAGCUGGAGCUGGAGGCGCUGGACAUCACAGAUGAACCUCUUGAACUUGAGGGAGCAGACGAGGCUGAAAACGAAGAACUGGCCAAGAAACUACUGGAUGAGCAAGAACAAGAGGAUGAGGAGGCCAACACAGGCUCCCACCUGAAGCUCAUCGUGGACGCCUUCAUCCAGCAGCUUCCCAACUGUGUCAACAGAGACCUCAUAGACAAGGCUGCCAUGGACUUCUGCAUGAACAUGAACACCAAAUCUAACAGGAGGAAGCUUGUGCGAGCCCUCUUCACUGUCCCCCGGCAGAGGUUGGAUCUUCUGCCCUUCUACUCUCGCCUGGUGGCAACUCUUCAUCCCUGCAUGUCAGACGUGGCUGAGGACCUCUGCUCCAUGCUGAAGGGAGACUUCAGGUUCCAUAUUCGGAAGAAGGACCAGAUCAACAUCGAGACAAAGAAUAAAACGGUCCGAUUCAUCGGGGAACUGGCCAAGUUCAAGAUGUUCUCAAAAACAGACACGCUUCAUUGUCUCAAGAUGCUGCUGUCUGAUUUCACCCAUCACCACAUCGAGAUGGCGUGCACGUUGCUGGAGACCUGCGGACGCUUCCUCUUCAGAUCCCCCGACUCUCACCUGCGUACCAGCGUCUUACUGGAGCAAAUGAUGCGCAAAAAGCAGGCGCAGCAUCUUGACGCCCGCUACGUGACGAUGGUGGAGAACGCCUAUUACUACUGCAACCCGCCGCCUGUGGAGAAGACGGUGAAGAAGAAGAGGCCGCCGCUGCAGGAGUACAUCCGCAAGCUGCUCUACAAGGACCUGUCCAAGGUCACAACAGAGAAGGUGCUCAGGCAGAUGCGUAAGCUGCCCUGGCAGGACCCCGAGGUGAAGAGCUACCUGAUCUGCUGCAUGGUCAACAUCUGGAACGUCAAGUACAACAGCAUCCACUGUGUGGCCAACCUGCUGGCCGGCCUGGUGGCCUACCAGGAGGACGUGGGCAUCCAUGUGGUGGACGGAGUGCUGGAGGACAUCCGGCUGGGCAUGGAGGUGAACCAGCCCAAGUUCAACCAGCGGCGGAUCAGCAGCGCCAAGUUCCUGGGCGAGCUCUACAACUACCGCAUGGUGGAGUCAGCCGUCAUCUUCCGCACCCUCUUCUCCUUCAUCUCCUUCGGGGUGAACCAGGACGGCAGCCCCAGCUCGCUGGACCCUCCGGAGCACCUGUUCCGCAUCCGCCUGGUGUGCACGCUGCUCGACACCUGCGGCCAGUAUUUCGACCGCGGCUCCAGCAAGAGGAAGCUGGACUGUUUCCUCAUCUACUUCCAGCGCUACAUCUGGUGGAAGAAGAGCAUCGAUGUUUGGACCAAAGACCACCCGUUCCCCAUCGACAUCGACUACAUGAUCAGUGACACGCUGGAGCUGCUGCGGCCCAAGAUGAGGCUCAGUUGUUCCCUGGAGGAGGCCACCAAACAGGUCACCGAUCUGGAGAGGGAGGUGCUCGUCAAACUAGGCCUGGCCAUGGAGAAGGACGGCCGCUCCAGCGCCAUGAGCGAAGGCGACGGUCUCGACGAGGAGGACGACGACGACGGCGAUGACGAGGAGGGAGGCGCUGAGACUGAGGAGCAGUCGGGCAACGAGAGCGAGAUGAACGAACAGGAAGAAGACGAAGGGUCGGAGAACGAAGAAGAGGAGAGGGAGGAAGAGGAGGAAGAGAACACAGACUAUCUGACUGACUCCAAUAAAGAAAAUGAGACAGAUGAGGAGAACAAUGAGGUUACGAUCCGCGGCGGUGGACUGAAGCACGUUGCCUGCGCCGAGGACGAGGACUUCAUUCAGGCUCUGGAUAAGAUGAUGCUGGAGAACCUGCAGCAGCGUAGCGGCGAGACGGUGAAGGUGCACCAGCUGGACGUGGCGAUUCCUCUGCAGCUGAAGAGCCAGCUGAAGAAGGGAGGAGGAGGACAGCAGUGCAUCGGGGAGGCCGAGUCCGACAUCUCUGAAACCAUGCAGUUCGUCAUGCUGACACGCAAAGGCAACAAGCAGCAGUAUAAGAUCCUGAACGUGCCGCUGUCCUCCCACCUGGCGGCGAACCACUUCAACCAGCAGCAGGCCGAACAGGAGGAGCGCAUGAGGAUGAAGAAACUGACGCUGGACAUCAACGAGAGGCAGGAGCAGGAGGACUACCAGGAGAUGAUGCAGUCCCUCGCCCAGCGUCCGGCGCCAGCCAACACUAACCGGGAGCGCCGGCCUCGCUACCAGCACCCGAAAGGCGCUCCCAACGCCGACCUCAUCUUCAAGACCGGAGGAAGUGCGAUUAAAGAAAGGCAUUAGACGAGCGAGAGACGGGACAGGAAAGACGAGCAGGAUAGAGAAGCCAAAGGCGUGACGUGGAGUAGGCUAGAACAGGUCGAGACCCAGCGAGGACUUCAGUUAUCAGAGAUGAAGCUUCAGAAAAGAGACGCUGAUUGGAGUCUGGUCCUGGGCUGAACGAGCGAGCGAAUGAACGAGCAAGAGAGUGAGAGAGCGAGAAAGAGAAGAUCGGAGGGGGAAAACCGGUCUCAACGGGGAACGAGUCCUGCAGACGCCCACUGAUGCCGGGACAGACCACACCCCCCUGACCUGAACACACACUCUUACCCCCACCGAGGGGCGCGAAGUCGAGGAGGAGAGGCAAAACCAGGAGCUGGGGUCAGAGGUCAGGGGUCAGAGAGACGGCUCUCUUUCUUUUUUGUCUGUUGCCUGAGAUGACGAAAAAAUAAAACAACUGUUUGGACCAGAGAACGAACCACAAAGACGACUGAACACCUGACCGGCCGACUGAAGGCGAGACAGACAGGAAGUGGAGACGCAUCACCUCCCGCUCAGAUAAAAAGGGGGGGGGACACUUUUUUAGGAGUUAAAAAACCUGCGAGUGGACAAAAACAUGACAUGAGACUAGAAACGGAUGUGGAUAUUUUUUGUUUUUGAACCCAGGAACACGUCUGGUUCAGUCGACACUGAGACGAAAGAGCGCGAGGCUCAAUGCAACUUGUUCAGGAACUGUUCACACAGCGACGACGAAGAGGAGGAGGAGGCGGCGUUGAUGAAUCGUGUGGUUAAAAAAAGAUCGUAGAGUGGCUGAUUUCAGAGUGGUGUGUCACGAUCAACAACAACUCAUCAGCAUAUAAUCAUUUGGUAACACUCUAUUUCACGUGUCUGUUAUUUACUAAGAAUUUCCAAGAAAUAACUACAAAAUCCGGCACUAAUUAAAUAGAUUCUGUUUCUCAGUUUCAGUCAGCUUUGGCCUUUAUGCUAAGCUAAGCUAAGCUAAGCUAACCGGUCGCUGGAAGCAUCUUCACAGACACGUCGACGGUGUCGAUCGUCUCACGUACGCAGCCGGACGAGCUGCACACCAGCAGUGACGCAUCACUCUGCAUCAACGUAAACGUCACUUUUUUAAACGAUCGUCUUCAUUCAGACUCCUGUAAAGACGCGGACACGUGAUCGCUGACGGACACCUGGGUGUACAUAUUCUGCAUUUUCGCUCUUUUUUUUUUGUUUUUUCCAGAAUCGAGAGCAUCUGCGUGUUAAUUUUGAAGAUAUUCAGCUUGCUUUGAUUUGAAGUUGUGACGUACUUUUGACAGAAGGAUAACCGUGUGCCUGAGAGUCCUCCUCAGUGACAAUAUUAAUUUUAGAUUAAUUUAACUGUCGAGCCUGUAGAUGGAUAAAUAUUCUCUGUAUUCUGCUGCAUGGGCCUCUUUUCUGCACCGUCUCAUCCUCUGUUGUAGUGAAAGCGUCCUGCGGUGGCUCUGAGUUAGUUUUGUCUGUGUCUAGAGUCAAAACUGUUCACUCUUUUUUCCUGCAAGCAAAAAGAAAAGAAGAAAAAGAAACAGCUUUACGGCUUUUUUUGUGUCCCGGCUCAUGACAGACAGAUGAUCAACAAUAAAUGUCUGAAGAUGAUCGCUGGUCGUCUCGUGUUUGUGGCGUUGUGUUUUGAGUGGGUGCGUCUGCGUGUCGGGGUUUAAUUACAAGGCAGACGAGCAGAAGUAUUUCCUCAUUUUCUGCACAGUCACUCCUCCAAACACGACAUAUGUUAAACAUUGACUGAUUUAACCUGUUUACUGCCCACCUGCACUAUAUAUCAGACACCGAGACAGGCUGAGCUCACUGGAGUCAUUUUUCUUGAUUGUCUUGAUUUUCUUGAACUUGGCAUUAAAAUAAAAGUCUUCAGAAGUGGA